UACGUAGGGCGCAAGCGUUGUCCGGAAUUAUUGGGCGUAAAGAGCUCGUAGGCGGUCUGUCGCGUCUGCCGUGAAAACCCGAGGCUUAACCUCGGGCUGGCGGUGGAUACGGGCAGACUAGAGGUAGGUAGGGGAGAAUGGAAUUCCCGGUGUAGCGGUGAAAUGCGCAGAUAUCAGGAGGAACACCGAUGGCGAAGGCAGGUCUCUGGGCAUUAACUGACGCUGAGGAGCGAAAGCAUGGGGAGCGAACAGG
rnacentral:rRNA from 1 species